rnacentral:rRNA from 1 species
CGGACGGGUGAGUAAUGCUUGGGAACAUGCCUUGAGGUGGGGGACAACAGUUGGAAACGACUGCUAAUACCGCAUAAUGUCUACGGACCAAAGGGGGCUUCGGCUCUCGCCUUUAGAUUGGCCCAAGUGGGAUUAGCUAGUUGGUGAGGUAAUGGCUCACCAAGGCGACGAUCCCUAGCUGGUUUGAGAGGAUGAUCAGCCACACUGGGACUGAGACACGGCCCAGACUCCUACGGGAGGCAGCAGUGGGGAAUAUUGCACAAUGGGCGCAAGCCUGAUGCAGCCAUGCCGCGUGUGUGAGAAGGCCUUCGGGUUGUAAAGCACUUUCAGUCAGGAGGAAAGGUUAGUAGUUAAUAC